rnacentral:rRNA from 1 species
CUACGGGUCGCUGCAGUGAGGAAUAUUGCACAAUGGGGGGAACCCUGAUGCAGCAACGCCGCGUGGAGGAUGACGCAUUUCGGUGUAUAAACUCCUUUUAUAUGUCAAGAAAAUGACGGUAGCAUAUGAAUAAGCACCGGCUAACUCCGUGCCAGCAGCCGCGGUAAUACGGAGGGUGAAAGCGUUACUCGGAAUCACUGGGCGUAAAGGACGCGUAGGCGGGUUGGAAAGUCAGGUGUGAAAUCCUACAGCUUAACUGUAGAACUGCACUUGAAACUUCUAAUCUAGAGUAUGGGAGGGGGAGAUGGAAUUAGUGGUGUAGGGGUAAAAUCCGUAGAUAUCACUAGGAAUACCUAAAGCGAAGGCGAUCUCCUGGAACAUUACUGACGCUAAGGCGUGAAAGCGUGGGGAGCAAACAGGAUUAGAUACCCUGGUAGUC